GACGAACGCUGGCGGCGUGCUUAACACAUGCAAGUCGAACGCUGAAGCUCAGCUUUUGUUGGGUGGAUGAGUGGCGAACGGGUGAGUAACACGUGAGUAACCUGCCUCCUUCUUUGGGAUAACGCCCGGAAACGGGUGCUAAUACUGGAUAUUCACUGGUCUUCGCAUGGGGGUUGGUGGAAAGGGUUUUUCUGGUGGGGGAUGGGCUCGCGGCCUAUCAGCUUGUUGGUGGGGUGAUGGCCUACCAAGGCUUUGACGGGUAGCCGGCCUGAGAGGGUGACCGGUCACAUUGGGACUGAGAUACGGCCCAGACUCCUGCGGGGGGCAGCAGUGGGGAAUAUUGCACAAUGGGCGCAAGCCUGAUGCAGCGACGCCGCGUGAGGGAUGGAGGCCUUCGGGUUGUGAACCUCUUUCGCUCAUGGUCAAGCCGCAACAAUGGUUGUGGUGAGGGUAGUGGGUAAAGAAGCGCCGGCUAACUACGUG
rnacentral:rRNA from 1 species